rnacentral:ncRNA from 1 species
AUGCCAGUCGCUACUAUCGAUUGGAUGGUUUAGUGAGGCCCUCAGAUCAGCCCCGCUGGGGUCGGCCCAUGGCCCUGGAGGAGCACUGAGAAGAUGGUCGAACUUGACUAUAUAGAGGAAGUAGAAGUCGUGACAAGGUUUCUUAGGUGAACCUGCGGAAG